rnacentral:rRNA from 1 species
AGGAUCAUUAUUGAAUUUUGAAAGAGGGGUUGUAGCUGAUCUUUCAAAAGAUAUGUGCACACCUCUUAUUCUACACAACCCACCCAAUGUGCACCUUUCUGUAGACGGAAUGAGACGUCAUUCUGCCUAUGUUUUUUCAAAUACACAUAAUACAUUGUAAAAAAGAAUGGUUAUGAUAAUACAACUUUCAACGACGGAUCUCUUGGCUCUCGCAUCGAUGAAGAACGCAGCGAAAUGCGAUAAGUAAUGUGAAUUGCAGAAUUCAGUGAAUCAUCGAAUCUUUGAACGCACCUUGCGCUCCUUGGUAUUCCGAGGAGCAUGCCUGUUUGAGUGUCAUUAAAUUAUCAACCUCUCAAGAAGAGGCUUGGAUUUGGAGUGUUGCUGGCUUAAUGUCGGCUCCUCUUAAAUGCAUUACCUUUGUUGUAAGGCUUUGGUUUGAUAAUAUCUAUGCCAUCGCUUUUUCAACAAUCUUUUUGAAAUUUUGACCUCAAAUCAGGUAGGACUACCCGCUGAACUUAAGCAUAUCAAUAAGCGGAGGAAAAGAAACUAACAAGGAUUCCCCUAGUAACUGCGAGUGAAGCGGGAAAAGCUCAAAUUUAAAAUCUGGCAGUCUUUGGCUGUCCGAGUUGUAAUCUAGAGAAGUGCUUUCCGUGUUGGACCGUGUACAAGUCUCUUGGAAUAGAGCAUCAUAGAGGGUGAGAAUCCCGUCUUUGACACGGACUACCAAUGCUUUAUGUGAUGCGCUCUCAAAGAGUCGAGUUGUUUGGGAAUGCAGCUCAAAAUGGGUGGUAAAUUCCAUCUAAAGCUAAAUAUUGGCGAGAGACCGAUAGCGAACAAGUACCGUGAGGGAAAGAUGAAAAGAACUUUGGAAAGAGAGUUAAACAGUACGUGAAAUUGUUGAAAGGGAAACGCUUGAAGUCAGUCGCGUCGGCUAGAAAUCAACUCUUAUGGGUGUACUUUCUGGUUGUACGGGUCAGCAUCAAUUUUGAUUGUUGGAUAAAAGUCAAUAUUUAUUGCAUUUUCGGAUGCAUAGCUUUUGGUUGCAUGCAACGGUUGGGAUUGAGGAACUCAG